GCGGAGGAAAAGAAACCAACAGGGAUUGCCCUAGUAACGGCGAGUGAAGCGGCAAGAGCUCAAAUUUGAAAUCUGGCUCUUUCAGAGUCCGAGUUGUAAUUUGUAGAGGGUGCUUUGGCGUUGGCUGUGGUCUAAGUUCCUUGGAACAGGACGUCGCAGAGGGUGAGAAUCCCGUAUGUGGCCGCCAGUCUUCGCCGUGUAAAGCCCCUUCGACGAGUCGAGUUGUUUGGGAAUGCAGCUCUAAAUGGGAGGUAAAUUUCUUCUAAAGCUAAAUAUUGGCCAGAGACCGAUAGCGCACAAGUAGAGUGAUCGAAAGAUGAAAAGCACUUUGGAAAGAGAGUCAAAAAGCACGUGAAAUUGUUGAAAGGGAAGCGCUUGCAGCCAGACUUGCCCGCAGUUGCUCAUCCAGGCUCGCGCCUGGUGCACUCUUCUGCGGGCAGGCCAGCAUCAGUCCGGGCGGUUGGAUAAAGGCCUGCUACAUGUACCUCUCCUCGGGGAGGACUUAUAGGGCAGGCGACAUGCAACCAGCCCGGAUUGAGGUCCGCGCUUCGGCUAGGAUGCUGGCGUAAUGGCUGUAAGCGGCCCGUCUUGAAACACGGACCAAGGAGUCUAACAUCUAUGCGAGUGUUUGGGUGUCAAGCCCGAGCGCGCAAUGAAAGUGAACGGAGGUGGGAACCCCUCGGGGCGCACCAUCGACCGAUCCUGAUGUCUUCGGAUGGAUUUGAGUAUGAGCAUAGCUGUUGGGACCCGAAAGAUGGUGAAUAUGCCUGAAUAGGGUGAACCAGAGGAAACUCUGGGGAGGCUCGCAGCGGUUCUGACGUGCAAAUCGAUCGUCAAUUUGGGCAUAGGGCGAAGAUAAUCGACUAUCUAGUACUGGUCUG
rnacentral:sRNA from 1 species